rnacentral:rRNA from 1 species
UACGUAGGUGGCGAGCGUUGUCCGGAUUUACUGGGCGUAAAGGGCGCGUAGGCGGCCAACUAAGUCAGACGUGAAAUCCCCUGGCUCAACCAGGGAACUGCGUCUGAUACUGGAUGGCUUGAAUCCGGGAGAGGGAUGUGGAAUUCCAGGUGUAGCGGUGAAAUGCGUAGAUAUCUGGAGGAACACCGGUGGCGAAGGCGGCAUCCUGGACCGGUAGUUGACGCUGACGGCGCGGAAAGCCAGGGGAGCAAAGCGGGG